rnacentral:lncRNA from 1 species
GCCUUGAGCUAGCAUUGUAAAUACAGCCGAGGAGCGCCCGCUGCGUAAAUCCGUUUUGCGUUGGGAAACGUCCGC